GGGCGGAUAGCUCAGUCGGUAGAGCGCAGCUCUUACACAGCUGAUGUCGCAGGUUCGAGCCCUGUUCCGCCCACCA
rnacentral:tRNA from 7 species